rnacentral:tRNA from 1 species
GGGAUUGAGGUUCAAUUGGUCAGAGCACCGCCCUCUCAAGGCGGCCCCCUCAGUCCCGAGAAAAUCCAAUCCUA